AGUAACGCGUGGAUAACCUGCCUCACACUGGGGGAUAACAGUUAGAAAUGACCGCUAAUACCGCAUAAGCGCACAGUGCCGCAUGAUACGGUGUGAAAAACUCCGGUGGUGUGAGAUGGAUCCGCGUCUGAUUAGCCAGUUGGCGGGGUAACGGCCCACCAAAGCGACGAUCAGUAGCCGACCUGAGAGGGUGACCGGCCACAUUGGGACUGAGACACGGCCCAA
rnacentral:rRNA from 1 species